UACGUAGGGUGCGAGCGUUGUCCGGAAUUAUUGGGCGUAAAGAGCUCGUAGGCGGUGUGUCACGUCGAUCGUGAAAACUUACAGCUUAACUGUGAGCGUGCGGUCGAUACGGGCAUCACUGGAGUUCGGCAGGGGAGACUGGAAUUCCUGGUGUAGCGGUGAAAUGCGCAGAUAUCAGGAGGAACACCGGUGGCGAAGGCGGUGAUCUGGGCCGGCACUGACGCUGAGGAGCGAAAGCGUGGGUAGCAAACAGG
rnacentral:rRNA from 1 species